AGCGAACGCUGGCGGCAGGCCUAACACAUGCAAGUCGAACGGAUCCUUCGGGAUUAGUGGCGGACGGGUGAGUAACACGUGGGAACGUGCCUUUUGGUUCGGAACAACGCAGAGAAAUUUGCGCUAAUACCGAAUGUGCCCUUCGGGGAAAGAUUAUCGCCAUUAGAGCGGCCCGCGUCUGAUUAGCUAGUUGGUGAGGUAAAGGCUCACCAAGGCUACGAUCAGUAGCUGGUCUGAGAGGAUGAUCAGCCACAUUGGGACUGAGACACGGCCCAAACUCCUACGGGAGGCAGCAGUGGGGAAUCUUGCGCAAUGGGCGAAAGCCUGACGCAGCCAUGCCGCGUGAAUGAUGAAAGGUCUUAGGAUUGUAAAAUUACUUUCACCGGGACGAUAAUGACGGUACCGGACGAAGAAG
rnacentral:rRNA from 1 species